rnacentral:rRNA from 1 species
UCCUACGGGAGGCAGCAGUGGGGAAUAUUGCACAAUGGGCGCAAGCCUGAUGCAGCGACGCCGCGUGAGGGAUGACGGCCUUCGGGUUGUAAACCUCUUUCGCUCAUGGUCAAGCCGCAGCUUUGGGUUGUGGUGAGGGUAGUGGGUAAAGAAGCGCCGGCUAACUACGUGCCAGCAGCCGCGGUAAUACGUAGGGCGCGAGCGUUGUCCGGAAUUAUUGGGCGUAAAGGGCUUGUAGGCGGUUGGUCGCGUCUGCCGUGAAAUCCUCUGGCUUAACUGGGGGCGUGCGGUGGGUACGGGCUGACUUGAGUGCGGUAGGGGAGACUGGAACUCCUGGUGUAGCGGUGGAAUGCGCAGAUAUCAGGAAGAACACCGAUGGCGAAGGCAGGUUACUGGGCCGUUACUGACGCUGAGGAGCGAAAGCGUGGGGAGCGAACAGGAUUAGAUACCCUGGUAGUCCACGCUGUAAACGUUGGGCACUAGGUGUGAGGCUCCUUUCCGGGGGUUUUGCGCCGUAGCUAACGCAUUAAGUGCCCCGCCUGGGGAGUACGGCCGCAAGGCUAAAACUCAAAGGAAUUGACGGGGGCCCGCACAAGCGGCGGAGCAUGCGGAUUAAUUCGAUGCAACGCGAAGAACCUUACCAAGGCUUGACAUAUACUGGACCGCAUCAGAGAUGGUGUUUCCCUUCGGGGCUGGUAUACAGGUGGUGCAUGGUUGUCGUCAGCUCGUGUCGUGAGAUGUUGGGUUAAGUCCCGCAACGAGCGCAACCC